rnacentral:sRNA from 1 species
GAAACGUCAAGACAUUUCCUGGAGCA